GUACCGUACGAACGUUAUUCGGAAUCACUGGGCUUAAAGGGUGCGUAGGCGGCACGGUCAGUUGGGUGUGAAAUCCCUCGGCUCAACCGAGGAACUGCGCCCAAUACUGCCGUACUCGAGGGAGACAGAGGUAAGCGGAACUGAUGGUGGAGCGGUGAAAUGCGUUGAUAUCAUCAGGAACACCUGUGGCGAAAGCGGCUUACUGGGUCUCUUCUGACGCUGAGGCACGCAAGCUAGGGGUAGCGAACGGGAUUAGAUACCCCGGUAGUCCUAGCUGUAAACGAUGAGCACUUGGUCGGAGGCUCCUCCAUAGGCUUCCGGUCGUAGCGAAAGUGUUAAGUGCUCCGCCUGGGAGUAUGGUCGCAAGGCUG
rnacentral:rRNA from 1 species